rnacentral:rRNA from 1 species
CGGACGGGUGAGUAACGCGUGGGUAACCUGCCUUGUACUGGGGGACAACAGUUAGAAAUGACUGCUAAUACCGCAUAAGCGCACAGUAUCGCAUGAUACAGUGUGAAAAACUCCGGUGGUACAAGAUGGACCCGCGUCUGAUUAGCUAGUUGGUAGGUAACGGCUUACCAAGGCGACGAUCAGUAGCCGACCUGAGAGGGUGACCGGCCACAUUGGGACUGAGACACGGCCCAA